rnacentral:rRNA from 1 species
GGCUCAGGAUGAACGCUAGCUACAGGCUUAACACAUGCAAGUCGAGGGGCAGCAUGAACAUAGCUUGCUAUGUUUGUCGGCGACCGGCGCACGGGUGCGUAACGCGUAUGCGACCUACCUAUAACAGGGGGAUAACCCAGAGAAAUUUGGACUAAUACCCCCAUAUUAUUAUUGAGCUGCAUGGUUUGAUAAUGAAAGACUUUGGUUGGUUAUAGAUGGGCAUGCGUGACAUUAGCUAGUUGGUAAGGUAACGGCUUACCAAGGCGACGAUGUCUAGGGGAACUGAGAGGUUAAUCCCCCACACUGGUACUGAGACACGGACCAGACUCCUACGGGAGGCAGCAGUGAGGAAUAUUGGUCAAUGGACGGAAGUCUGAACCAGCCAAGUCGCGUGAAGGAAGACGGUUCUAUGAAUUGUAAACUUCUUUUGUCGGGGAGUAAAGUCAGCUACGUGUAGCUGUUUGCAAGUACCCGAAGAAAAAGCAUCGGCUAACUCCGUG